GACGAACGCUGGCGGCGUGCUUAACACAUGCAAGUCGAACGGAAAGGCCCUGCUUUUGUGGGGUGCUCGAGUGGCGAACGGGUGAGUAACACGUGAGUAACCUGCCCUUGACUUUGGGAUAACUUCAGGAAACUGGGGCUAAUACCGGAUAGGAGCUCCUGCUGCAUGGUGGGGGUUGGAAAGUUUCGGCGGUUGGGGAUGGACUCGCGGCUUAUCAGCUUGUUGGUGGGGUAGUGGCUUACCAAGGCUUUGACGGGUAGCCGGCCUGAGAGGGUGACCGGCCACAUUGGGACGGAGAGACGGCCCAGACUCCUACGGGAGGCAGCAGUGGGGAAUAUGGCACAAUGGGCGGAAGCCUGAUGCAGCAACGCCGCGUGCGGGAGGACGGCCUUCGGGUUGUAAACCGCUUUCGCCUGUGACGAAGCGUGAGUGACGGUAAUGGGUAAAGAAGCACCGGCUAACUACGU
rnacentral:rRNA from 1 species